UAAUAAAAUAUUCUAUUGGCUUAAACUGG
rnacentral:piRNA from 1 species